ACUAAUUGUAGUUUUACAUUGUUAAUGUUUAACAUUUGGUUUUCGUUUUAUUUGAUUUUUUAUGAUUAGUAUUUUUAUUGUUAUUAGAUGAUAAAACAUGUACACUUUUAAAAUUUUUUUAAAUAAGACGAACGGUUAAACGUUGAAUAUGAAUAUCCACGGCUAUAUUUAUU
rnacentral:pre_miRNA from 1 species